UUUUUUUUUUAAACUGGUCUAUCCUGAAGUGAAUUUUAUUGAAAUCAAAGGUAGUAUUCCUAUUUGAGAGAUAAAAAAAAUAAAAUCAAGUUGUAGAAGCAAUCAUCAUGAGAUAAACCAGUAAAGACGCCUGCUCAGAUCACACCAGAGGAGACACUAGUUUCUACCCCAGCCCACAUGAAGAUGUUUUUAUUCAUUACAAACAGUGGCAGAGGCAACACAAUGGACACAGAAUGAGAACGUAAGUGCACUUGAAUUUUUUGUGAGUUCUGGCUAGGCUCUGACAAGCCUAGCACUCUUUUCUUACCAGGUGAACAGAAAUCAUCUGCUAAUGCCAGAAACAUUAAAACCCUUAAUUCAGCUGGAAAUAUUUAUAAUUGAGGGCCUUCUUAUUAGCUACUUGUUUCCCAAUUUAGGGUUGCCUAGCAGGUAAAUUUCAACAUAACAAAAGGUGUCAUCUAGCUGGCUACAUCACGCACUGGUGACAGGGGCAUGUUUAAUGAGUUUUGUACUCAGAUGGCUGGGCCUCCUGGCUGCUCUUGUCCAUCUCUGCACCUUGGUCCUGAGCAUUCUGAGACUCAGUCAGCUGAGGAUAAAAGGGACGUACCAGCCAGUUGAGGGGUGUGUUGUUAACAAGAUAAUCCACACGUCAUCUAAAGAUUUCUUCAUUUU